GUGUGGCCAAGACCCUGCUGAAGUGAAGUGUCUGCUUGAGACACCGCCACCAAAGAAGGGACGUGCAUCAAAUGACAUCCACGCCAAAGGCAAGAAAUGAAGUUACAACUCGGGAUGAAGGCAGGGCAUCUGUGCUGGCAAAACAUCAGCUUUAUUAAGCAAUCUUCUAGGUCUGUGCCUCAAAGCAUGCUCAAAAUAGUCUUCCUGGUCAGUUUUAAGGUACACGUGAAGAUGGUGCACAUAUAGACUUGUCCUGGCCUCUAAAAAUGCAACGACUCACCAAAUUAUGGCUCCUCAGUGCUGUGGGCUAAGUCCAGGACAGAACGUGGCAGGAACACAAGGAUUCUGCGGUGCUGGACCUUGUUGUGUUAAACCUUUGAGUAACGUAGCCAGAGAGUGAAGCGAGGACACCUCUCGCAGCUGCAGUAUUUUUCUCAUGAAUUAAGGCUACCAAGGAGAUUUGGAAACCAUACUAGGAUUCCACAAAUAGUUGGUUCAUCAGCAACUUGGAAAAACAUGCAUAAGAGGUAAAUGCUAGAAGUUAAACUUAUCUCCUUGGUCAGGAUACGGCUUCCACCCUGUGCACGUGGCUUACAUCUGAAAGAUGUCAUAGCAGGCAGCAGAGCAGCAGUAAACAUCACUGUUGUGGCCACUCAAUGAAAGUGGGGACCUGCUUAUCCAGAUGAAGAUAGGGCAACCCACAACGUCUGCCUUGCUCCCGAACUGGGCGUUUUUUUCCUGGACAGAGAAUGCUUUCAGAGCCUUGCUUCAAGUAGCUGUGUUCUAGAUCUGUGAGUUCAUCUUGAAAUAAUAGUUGGCAGCCCAAAGCGAUGUAACAUUUAUCCUGCUUUAAAGGACCAUAUGGAAUAAGUUACACUGGAGUAAAACAAACACCAGUCUCUCACAUCCAGUGUUAUUGUUAACAACUUACAUGGCUGUGUGUAUUUUUCAGCAGCAAGGAUGACUCACUAAAUAACAGGAUAAUACCAUGGAUCACUAGCAUGUUGUGGUCUGUGGCCACAGGAAGGCUUUACUUUUAUUGUGUACAUGUUGGCAGUCUCAGCACACCAGCAGCAAAUCCAGAAGUUUAUUGCUGCGUCAAGGGCAGAAGCAUAAGAUCUCCGCCUGGAGCCUUUCCGUAAGCCAAAAAAAUAACACGGGAUAAUUCUCCUAUCCUGCUUGCCAGGCUGCAGCAGAAGCAGCGAGCUGGGAAUUAGAGGCUGGGAAAGUGGCUAUCACCUUGGAUUUGCUUCCUUGCUCCAGUGUGCGGAUGUGGCAAACGCUGACGCUGGGAGGGGGCUCUUUCAAAGGGAUGGGAUCCCCGUUCCCACACUAAAGCCUGGAUGCCUGGUUUAGAAACCUCUUUUAGAAACAGGUGUCAAACCAAGCGGGUUUGGAAGGGUGAAGGGGUUGUAGGGCAAGAGAUACAGUUGUCCAUGAAAGCCUAGGCCCCUGUAGAAAUCCUGAGGGUGGUGAGGGAUGCCUUAGGUGGACAUGCACGACCCCUCAGCUGCUUCAUGACUCCUCAGGCUUCUCUGCCUGAGGCUGAAACCAUGCCCAGGUCACUGUGGGCCAGAUCCCUUCACCACUCCCACUGAGCUCAUGUGCUGUCCCUUGCUUCCUGAGGCUUGUUGAGACAGGAGAUCUCCCUGUAGCCUGGGAGGCCUCGGUAUCUGCAGGGGUGUAGUAGCCAGAAGAGGACAUGGCUGCACAUGGAAGGUUAUUUGUCACCCCCUCACACAUCACUGCCAGGAGCAGGGGGAAGGGAAACUGUCCCAGGCAGAAGGGGUUCCUCCUGAUGGAGAAAAUGUGGCUGGGGGAGACAUCAGAUACUGCUCUUAUCAGGGGGGUGGUUCUAUGUGAAUUGUUUCUUUUUUAUCUCCUCUGACAUUCCGUAUUAUUGCUGUUACUGUUCAUUUUCUUAUCCCAUUGCUGUUUCCAGUAAAUUGU